GUGCCAGCAGCCGCGGUAAUACGUAGGUGGCAAGCAUUAUCCGGAAUUAUUGGGCGUAAAGCGCGCGUAGGCGGUUUUUUAAGUCUGAUGUGAAAGCCCACGGCUCAACCGUGGAGGGUCAUUGGAAACUGGAAAACUUGAGUGCAGAAGAGGAAAGUGGAAUUCCAUGUGUAGCGGUGAAAUGCGCAGAGAUAUGGAGGGACACCAGCGGCGAAGGCGACUUUCUGGUCUGUAACUGACGCUGAUGUGCGAAAGCGUGGGGAUCAAACAGGAUUAGAU
rnacentral:rRNA from 1 species